GACGAGGGGGCGCAAGCGUUUGUCCGGAUUUAUUGGGGCGUAAAGAGCUCGUAGGCGGCUUGUUGCGUUCAGGCUAGUCGAAAAACCCCGCAGCUCAACUGUGGGACUUGCAGCUGAUACGGGACAGGGCUUGAGUUCCGGUAGGGGAGACUGGAAUUCCUGGUGUAGCGGUGGAAAGUGACGCAGAUAGUCAGGAGGGAACACCGGUGGCGAAGGCGGGGUCUCGUGGGGCCGAAUACGUGACAGCUGGAGGAAGCGAAAACGCGUUGGGG
rnacentral:rRNA from 1 species